CCCUGGUAGUCCACGCUGUAAACGAUGAUCACUAGACGUUAGUUCUGUUUGACAGAAUUAGUGUCGUAGCUAACGCGUUAAGUGAUCCACCUGGGGAUUACGGUCGCAAGACUAAAACUCAAAGAAAUUGACGGGGGCCCGCACAAGCGGUGGAACAUGUGGUUUAAUUCGACACUACGCGAGGAACCUUACCUAGGCUUGACAUGCUUUUGACCGUCAUGGAAACAUGACUUUUCUGGCUUCGGUCAGAACAAUUGCACAGGUGCUGCAUGGCUGUCGUCAGCUCGUGUCGUGAGAUGUUGGGUUAAGUCCUCUAACGAGCGCAACCCUUGCCGUCAGUUGCUACUUACGUGAGUAAGGCACUCUGAUGGGACUGCCUGGGAAACCAGGAGGAAGGUGGGGAUGACGUCAAGUCCUCAUGGCCUUUAUGCCUAGGGCGACACACGUGUUACAAUGGUCGGUACAAAGGGUUGCAAGCUAGUAAUAGUAAGCUAAUCCCAAAAAGCCGAUCUAAGUUCAGAUUGAGGUCUGCAACUCGACCUCAUGAAGUUGAAAUCGCUAGUAAUCGCGCAUCAGAACGGCGCGGUGAAUACGUUCUCGGGCCUUGUACACACCGCCCGUCACACCAUGAGAGCUGUUUGUACCCAAAAACAUUUUAGCUGACCCGCAAGGGAGGCGAAUGUCUAAGGUAUGGAGAGUGAUUGGGGUGAAGUCGUAACAAGGUAACC
rnacentral:rRNA from 1 species